UACGUAGGUGGCAAGCGUUAUCCGGAAUUAUUGGGCGUAAAGCGCGCGCAGGCGGUUUCUUAAGUCUGAUGUGAAAGCCCACGGCUCAACCGUGGAGGGUCAUUGGAAACUGGGGAACUUGAGUGCAGAAGAGAAAAGCGGAAUUCCACGUGUAGCGGUGAAAUGCGUAGAGAUGUGGAGGAACACCAGUGGCGAAGGCGGCUUUUUGGUCUGUAACUGACACUGAGGCGCGAAAGCGUGGGGAGCAAACAGG
rnacentral:rRNA from 1 species